CCUACGGGGGGCAGCAGUGGGGAAUAUUGGACAAUGGGGGCAACCCUGAUCCAGCCAUGCCGCGUGUGUGAAGAAGGCCCUCGGGUUGUAAAGCACUUUCAGUGAGGAAGAACGCCUGGUGGUUAAUACCCAUCAGGAAAGACAUCACCCACAGAAGAAGCGCCGGCUAACUCCGUGCCAGCAGCCGCGGUAAUACGGAGGGUGCGAGCGUUAAUCGGAAUUACUGGGCGUAAAGCGCGCGUAGGUGGCUUGAUAAGCCGGUUGUGAAAGCCCCGGGCUCAACCUGGGAACGGCAUCCGGAACUGUCAAGCUAGAGUGCAGGAGAGGAAGGUAGAAUUCCCGGUGUAGCGGUGAAAUGCGUAGAGAUCGGGAGGAAUACCAGUGGCGAAGGCGGCCUUCUGGACUGACACUGACACUGAGGUGCGAAAGCGUGGGUAGCAAACAGGAUUAGAUACCCGUGUAGUC
rnacentral:rRNA from 1 species